UACGGAGGGUGCGAGCGUUAUUCGGAAUUACUGGGCGUAAAGAGCUCGUAGGCGGCUUAAUAAGUCUGAUGUGAAAGCCCUGGACUCAAUCUAGGAAGUGCAUUGGAUACUGUUAGGCUCGAGUAUAGGAGAGGUGAGUGGAAUUCCUGGUGUAGAGGUGAAAUUCGUAGAUAUCAGGAGGAACAACGGUGGCGAAGGCGACUCACUGGACUAUUACUGACGCUGAGGAGCGAAAGCGUGGGGAGCAAACAGG
rnacentral:rRNA from 1 species